GCAAAACGCGAAGAACCUUACCCACCUUUGACAUGUACGGAAUCCUUUAGAGAUAGAGGAGUGCUCGAAAGAGAGCCGUAACACAGGUGCUGCAUGGCUGUCGUCAGCUCGUGUCGUGAGAUGUUGGGUUAAGUCCCGCAACGAGCGCAACCCUUGCCAUUAGUUGCUACAUUUAGUUGAGCACUCUAAUGGGACUGCCGGUGACAAACCGGAGGAAGGUGGGGAUGACGUCAAGUCCUCAUGGCCCUUAUAGGUGGAGCUACACACGUCAUACAAUGGCUGGUACAAAGGGUUGCCAACCCGCGAGGGGGAGCUAAUCCCAUAAAGCCAGUCGUAGUCCGGAUCGCAGUCUGCAACUCGACUGCGUGAAGUCGGAAUCGCUAGUAAUCGUGGAUCAGAAUGUCACGGUGAAUACGUUCCCGGGUCUUGUACACACCG
rnacentral:rRNA from 1 species